rnacentral:rRNA from 1 species
GAUGAACGCUAGCGGUAGGCCUAACACAUGCAAGUCGAGGGGCAUCACAUGAAGUAGCAAUACGGAUGGUGGCGACCGGCGCACGGGUGAGUAACACGUAUGCAACCUGCCUUCAACAAGGGGAUAACCCGUUGAAAGACGGACUAAUACCCUAUAACACAGGGGUCCCGCAUGGGGAUAUUUGUUAAAGGACAACCGGUUGAAGAUGGGCAUGCGUUCCAUUAGCUAGUUGGCGGGGUAAGGGCCCACCAAGGCAACGAUGGAUAGGGGAACUGAGAGGUUUAUCCCCCACACUGGUACUGAGACACGGACCAGACUCCUACGGGAGGCAGCAGUGAGGAAUAUUGGUCAAUGGACGCAAGUCUGAACCAGCCACGUCGCGUGAAGGAAGACGGCCCUACGGGUUGUAAACUUCUUUUGCAAGGGAAUAAAGUGGGCCACGUGUGGCCUUUUGCAAGUACCUUGCGAAUAAGGAUCGGCUAACUCCGUG